CCUACGGGAGACAGCAGUGAGGAAUAUUGGUCAAUGGACGAGAGUCUGAACCAGCCAAGUAGCGUGAAGGAUGACUGCCCUAUGGGUUGUAAACUUCUUUUAUAAAGGAAUAAAACGAGGCACGUGUGCCUUUUUGCAUGUACUUUAUGAAUAAGGAUCGGCUAACUCCGUGCCAGCAGCCGCGGUAAUACGGAGGAUCCGAGCGUUAUCCGGAUUUAUUGGGUUUAAAGGGAGCGUAGAUGGGUUGUUAAGUCAGUUGUGAAAGUUUGCGGCUCAACCGUAAAAUUGCAAUUUAUACUGGCAGUCGUGAGUACAGUUGAGGUAGGCGGAAUUCGUGGUGUAGCGGUGAAAUGCUUAGAUAUCACGAAGAACCCCGAUUGCGAAGGCAGCUUACUAAACUGUGACUGACAUUGAUGCUCGAAAGUGUGGGUAUCAAACAGGAUUAGAUACCCGUGUAGUC
rnacentral:rRNA from 1 species